UCAGAAUGCAGUGCAGGGACUUCCCUGGCAAGUAAGGAGAAGAAAGGCUUGUGAAGCCAAGGAAGGAAGGAAUGGUGAGAGCAGAAAAGAUGAAUGGAUUCCUAACACUGAAUGAGACAUCUUUGGAAAAGAACGGGAUCCAAUUAAAAGAAGCACCCAGCACAGUAAAGAUGAUCCCAGUCUGUGAGUUGACUCCAACAGCAGUGAUAACCAUCCGCCCAGAGCCUUCCAUGACGUGGGUGCCUAAAUCAAAAGAAAAGUCAGAGGAAUACUAAGUGGAAUGUUAGGAACCCAAGAAAUAGACCUUCUGGGUUCAUUUACAAGACCGCAUUAGUAUUUCAAGUUCACUCUAGGAGACAGCGCGAAUUAAAACCAUGGAAACCCUUGGUGAGAAUGUGGAGGUAGCAACCAGAGUGGUCUUCUUGAGGUUCCUGCUCAUGGGCUAAAUCAGCACAGUCAGCAAGGAAGUCUGCUCCAGAGUCUGCCCAGCUGAACAAGGGCACCCAAAUCCUGGAUGUCAUUCUCCUAUCCAGAAAACAUAGGCCAAGUCCUCCUAUUCUUUCACAGGGAAGAUAUUAUGACAUGUAGAAGAACAACAGGCUGAAAAGAGUCAUAGCCUUCUGGCUCUUGCGCUAUUUUUAUUAGCAGGGAGUGUCCCACCAGCAGCCCCAAGCUGGAAAACUGAGAAAAAGGUCACUCCCUGUCUCUAGCAACUGCAUAAACCAACCAUCCACAUAGUUAUUGUACCUCUUGGGCCUUUCUUCAUCCAUUGUUUUAAUCUGGUGGCGAAUGUCUGCUAAUAAAACAUGUUUGAAAAAACA